rnacentral:lncRNA from 10 species
GCAAGUUAAAGAUAUUUCUGAAUCUUGGACCCUCUUAGUUACAGUAAAGCCCGGCCAUGCAUAAUAAAGCAGAGAGGAAUGUAAAAGGUUGCUGCAUCGAUAAUCAAUUUCUGGAAGCCUAUUCCAGGCCGGGGGCUGUGGCUCACGCCUACAAUACCUGCAUUUUGGGAGGCUGAGGCCGGGGGAUGAUGAGGUCAAGAGAUCAAGACUAUCGUGGUCAACAUGGUGAAACCCCGUCUCU